UAUCAUCGGAGGAAGUGAGACCUUAAUCCAUGAUA
rnacentral:ncRNA from 1 species